rnacentral:rRNA from 1 species
UACGUAGGGUGCGAGCGUUGUCCGGAAUUAUUGGGCGUAAAGGGCUCGUAGGCGGUUUGUCGCGUCGGGAGUGAAAACCAGGUGCUUAACACCUGGCUUGCUUUCGAUACGGGCAGACUAGAGGUAUGCAGGGGGAGAACGGAAUUCCUGGUGUAGCGGUGAAAUGCGCAGAUAUCAGGAGGAACACCGAUGGCGAAGGCAGGUCUCUGGGCAUUAACUGACGCUGAGGAGCGAAAGCAUGGGGAGCGAACAGG